GUCUCUGUGGCGCAAUUGGUUGGCGCGUUUGGCUGUUAUCCAAAAGGUUGGUGGUUCAAGCCCACCCAGGGACG